rnacentral:lncRNA from 1 species
GUUCUAUUCCUGUUGAAUCAGACAGAGAGACAGGGACAGAGGUUCUAUUCCUGUUCUAGUUGAAUCAGACAGAGAGACAGGGACAGAGGUUCUAUUCCUGUUCUAGAUGAAUCAGACAGAGAGACAGGGACAGAGGUUCUAUUCCUGUUCUAGUUGAAUCAGACAGAGAGACAGGGACAGAGGUUCUAUUCCUGUUGUAGUUGAAUCAGACAGAGAGACAGGGACAGAGGUUCUAUUCCUGUUGAAUCAGAGAGAGACAGGGACAGAGGUUCUAUUCCUGUUCUAGUUGAAUCAGACAGAGAGACAGGGUCAGAGGUUCUAUUCCUGUUCUAGAUGAAUCAGACAGAGAGACAGGGACAGAGGUUCUAUUCCUGUUGAAUCAGACAGAGAGACAGGGACAGAGGUUCUAUUCCUGUUCUAGAUGAAUCAGACAGAUAGACAGGGACAGAGGUUCAAUUCCUGUUCUAGUUGAAUCAGACAGAGAGACAGGGUCAGAGGUUCUAUUCCUGUUCUAGAUGAAUCAGACAGAGAGACAGGGACAGAGGUUCUAUUCCUGUUGAAUCAGACAGAGAGACAGGGACAGAGGUUAUAUUCCUGUUCUAGUUUAAUCAGACAGAGAGACAGGGACAGAGGUUCUAUUCCUGUUGAAUCAGACAGAGAGGCAGGGACAGAGGUUCUAUUCCUGUUCUUGUUGAAUCAGACAGAGAGACAGGGACAGAGGUUCUAUUCCUGUUGAAUCAGACAGAGAGACAGGGACAGAGGUUCUAUUCCUGUUCUAGAUGAAUCAGACAGAGAGACAGGGACAGAGGUUCAAUUCCUGUUCUAGAUGAAUCAGACAGAGAGACAGGGACAGAGGUUCUAUUCCUGUUGAAUCAGACAGAGAGACAGGGACAGAGGUUAUAUUCCUGUUCUAGUUUAAUCAGACAGAGAGACAGGGACAGAGGUUCUAUUCCUGUUGAAUCAGACAGAGAGACAGGGACAGAGGUUCUAUUCCUGUUCUUGUUGAAUCAGACAGAGAGACAGGGACAGAGGUUCUAUUCCUGUUCUAGAUGAAUCCGACAGAGAGACAGGGACAGAGGUUCUAUUCCUGUUCUAGUUGAAUCAGACAGAGAGACAGGGACAGAGGUUCUAUUCCUGUUGAAUCAGACAGAGAGACAGGGUCAGAGGUUCCAUUCCUGUUGAAUCAGACAGAGAGACAGGGACAGAGGUUCUAUUCCUGUUCUAGAUGAAUUAGACAGAGCGACAGGGACAGAGGUUCUAUUCCUGUUGAAUCAGACAGAGAGACAGGGACAGAGGUUCUAUUCCUGUUCUAGAUGAAUCAGACAGAGAGACAGGGACAGAGGUUCAAUUCCUGUUCUAGUUGAAUCAUACAGAGAGACAGGGUCAGAGGUUCUAUUCCUGUUCUAGAUGAAUCAGACAGAGAGACAGGGACAGAGGUUCUAUUCCUGUUGAAUCAGACAGAGAGACAGGGACAGAGGUUAUAUUCCUGUUCUAGUUGAAUCAGACAGAGAGACAGGGACAGAGGUUAUAUUCCAAUUCUAGAUGAAUCAGACAGAGAGACAGGGACAGAGGUUCUAUUCCUGUUCUAGAUGAAUCAGACAGAGAGACAGGGACAGAGGUUCUAUUCCUGUUCUAGAUGAAUCAG